GACGAACGCUGGCGGCGCGCUUAACACAUGCAAGUCGAGCGAGAACCAGCCCUUCGGGGCUGGGGAGAGCGGCGAACGGGUGAGUAACACGUGGGUAAUCAACCCUCGGUACUGGGAUAGCCCGGGGAAACCCGGAUUAAUACCGGAUGGCCCUUCGAAUCCUCGGAUUUGAAGGAAAAGGUAGCUUCGGCCUCCGACCGAGGACGAGCACGCGGCGGAUUAGCUUGUUGGUGGGGUAACGGCAUACCAAGGCGACGAUCCGUAGCUGGUCUGAGAGGAGGAGCAGCCACACUGGGACUGAGACACGGCCCGGACUUCUACGGAAGGCAGCGGUGGGGAAUCUUGCGCUAAUGCGGGAAACCGUGACGCAGCGACGCCGCGUGGGGGAAGAAGGCCUUCGGGUUGUAAACCUCUUACAGGAGGGACGAAGCUACUCGGGUUAAUAGCCCAGAGGGUGACGGUACCUCCAGAAGAAGCCCCGGCUAACUACGUGCCAGCCGCCGCCGUAA
rnacentral:rRNA from 1 species